CUGAAAUGGAAGCUGUAGACGCCACUAGUUACAAAGGGUUUUAGAAAAUCGUUUACCUGGACUUCAAGAUCCUUUACCCUACACAAAGUGGACAACCUGGAUAUCGCAUGCUAUUAGGAUACAGAAUAAGUUCCUCUUCAAAGCAAGGCGAGAGGCCAACUGAUCCUUCUCAGUCUUAGUAUCUUUUUAGAGAUACCUGGAGUCGUGUGAUUUGACAUUGUGUUGUUUGAUCUGCAAAGACUCAGAUUCAUUUAUCUUCACUGCACACCCAUCAUGAACUACAAUCACAGUUUAAGACAAGAGCCAAACUUUCUAUCCUUGAAAGACUGUGAGUGAGUCCUUCAUCACUUUGCAUCUGGGGUCUUACGAAUGUAUAAUGGGGAUUAUACAGUCUCCGUCACCACUCAACAAAUGAGCAAAUGGGGGGAAGCACCCAUGCCUGUGCAGAUGAGACAAAAGGAGAAAAAGAAGAAAGAAACAGCAGAAAAGGGGAGGGCUUGGGGACUGGCAAGACGAAACAUUCAUCACUCUGUGGGGAAGCUGCCUACACGAAGUGCUCUUCAGUGCUCCACGCUGCAUCAAAGAGAAGAGUGGAGGAAUGCGCUGCCAGGCUGCACACAGGGACCAUGGAAGCAGGCACCGUGCAGAAAGACUGCUUGAGACCUUCAAUGGCCAUUCAGACAGACUAAUGAUGAAUCAGGGUGCUAAAAAUGCAUGUGCUUUCACUUCUGCGGCAACAGCUGAAUUUUUAUUUCUAGAUGCAAUGUUUGGCUUCUCAUCAUGGUAUGAUUGGGACAAUAUAACUUUAUUGUAUAAGUGGUUUUGUGCCAACAAUGUGAAAACUGAAUUUCAGAGCCUGCUUCUGUGCAAAAUGAAAUGCAUCGAAUAUAUUGGUUACACUCCCUUGGCUCUGUACCACUCAGAAACAAAUGUCAUGAAGACUAAUAUUUUUUGUUUUGCCAAAAAUAUUGUUAUUAGAGAACAUCAUUCUCACAAAAAUAAGCAUUAUAAUCUUGAUGAUGUGCACGUAAUACAUUAUGUUCAAAUUCAGUUCCCUUUGUUGGGAAAGUUUAAGAGAUAAUUGUAAUUAUAAACCCAUACUAGAGAAA